UACGUAGGGGGCAAGCGUUGUCCGGAAUCAUUGGGCGUAAAGAGCGUGUAGGCGGCCAGAUAAGUCCGCUGUGAAAUCUCGAGGCUCAACUUCGAGCUGUCGGUGGAAACUGUCUGGCUAGAGUCCGGAAGAGGAGAAUGGAAUUCCUGGUGUAGCGGUGGAAUGCGCAGAUAUCAGGAGGAACACCAAUAGCGAAGGCAGCUCGCUGGGACGGUACUGACGCUAAGGCGCGAAAGCGUGGGGAGCGAACAGG
rnacentral:rRNA from 1 species